GGCUUAGAGUUUGAUCAUGGCUCAGGAUGAACGCUAGCUACAGGCUUAACACAUGCAAGUCGAGGGGCAGCAUGGUCUUAGCUUGCUAAGGCCGAUGGCGACCGGCGCACGGGUGAGUAACACGUAUCCAACCUGCCGUCUACUCUUGGACAGCCUUCUGAAAGGAAGAUUAAUACAAGAUGGCAUCAUGAGUUCACAUGUUCACAUGAUUAAAGGUAUUCCGGUAGACGAUGGGGAUGCGUUCCAUUAGAUAGUAGGCGGGGUAACGGCCCACCUAGUCUUCGAUGGAUAGGGGUUCUGAGAGGAAGGUCCCCCACAUUGGAACUGAGACACGGUCCAAACUCCUACGGGAGGCAGCAGUGAGGAAUAUUGGUCAAUGGGCGCAGGCCUGAACCAGCCAAGUAGCGUGAAGGAUGACUGCCCUAUGGGUUGUAAACUUCUUUUAUAAAGGAAUAAAGUCGGGUAUGUAUACCCGUUUGCAUGUGCUUUAUGAAUAAGGAUCGGCUAACUCCGUGCCAGCAGCCGCGGUAAUACGGAGGAUCCGAGCGUUAUCCGGAUUUAUUGGGUUUAAAGGGAGCGUAGAUGGAUGUUUAAGUCAGUUGUGAAAGUUUGCGGCUCAACCGUAAAAUUGCAGUUGAUACUGGAUAUCUUGAGUGCAGUUGAGGCAGGCGGAAUUCGUGGUGUAGCGGUGAAAUGCUUAGAUAUCACGAAGAACUCCGAUUGCGAAGGCAGCCUGCUAAGCUGCAACUGACAUUGAGGCUCGAAAGUGUGGGUAUCAAACAGGAUUAGA
rnacentral:rRNA from 1 species